UUCGGGGUACUCGAGUGGCGAACGGGUGAGUAACACGUGGGUGAUCUGCCCUGCACUUUGGGAUAAGCCUGGGAAACUGGGUCUAAUACCGAAUAGGACCACGCGCUUCAUGGUGUGUGGUGGAAAGCUUUUGCGGUGUGGGAUGGGCCCGCGGCCUAUCAGCUUGUUGGUGGGGUAAUGGCCUACCAAGGCGACGACGGGUAGCCGGCCUGAGAGGGUGACCGGCCACACUGGGACUGAGAUACGGCCCAGACUCCUACGGGAGGCAGCAGUGGGGAAUAUUGCACAAUGGGCGCAAGCCUGAUGCAGCGACGCCGCGUGAGGGAUGACGGCCUUCGGGUUGUAAACCUCUUUCAAUAGGGACGAAGCGCAAGUGACGGUACCUAUAGAAGAAGCACCGGCCAACUACGUGCCAGCAGCCGCGGUAAUACGUAGGGUGCGAGCGUUGUCCGGAAUUACUGGGCGUAAAGAGCUCGUAGGUGGUUUGUCGCGUUGUUCGUGAAAACUCACAGCUUAACUGUGGGCGUGCGGGCGAUACGGGCAGACUAGAGUACUGCAGGGGAGACUGGAAUUCCUGGUGUAGCGGUGGAAUGCGCAGAUAUCAGGAGGAACACCGGUGGCGAAGGCGGGUCUCUGGGCAGUAACUGACGCUGAGGAGCGAAAGCGUGGGGAGCGAACAGGAUUAGAUACCCUGGUAGUCCACGCCGUAAACGGUGGGUACUAGGUGUGGGUUCCUUCCUUGGGAUCCGUGCCGUAGCUAACGCAUUAAGUACCCCGCCUGGGGAGUACGGCCGCAAGGCUAAAACUCAAAGGAAUUGACGGGGGCCCGCACAAGCGGCGGAGCAUGUGGAUUAAUUCGAUGCAACGCGAAGAACCUUACCUGGGUUUGACAUGCACAGGACGCCGGCAGAGAUGUCGGUUCCCUUGUGGCCUGUGUGCAGGUGGUGCAUGGCUGUCGUCAGCUCGUGUCGUGAGAUGUUGGGUUAAGUCCCGCAACGAGCGCAACCCUUGUCCUAUGUUGCCAGCGGGUUAUGCCGGGGACUCGUAGGAGACUGCCGGGGUCAACUCGGAGGAAGGUGGGGAUGACGUCAAGUCAUCAUGCCCCUUAUGUCCAGGGCUUCACACAUGCUACAAUGGCCGGUACAAAGGGCUGCGAUGCCGUGAGGUGGAGCGAAUCMUUUYAAARCCGGUCUCAGUUCGGAUCGGGGUCUGCAACUCGACCCCGUGAAGUCGGAGUCGCUAGUAAUCSCARAUCAGCAACGCYGYGSUGAAUACGUYCYCGGGCCUUGUACACACCGCCCGUCACGUCAUGAAAGUCGGUAACACCCGAAGCC
rnacentral:rRNA from 1 species